rnacentral:rRNA from 1 species
UACAGAGGGGGCAAGCGUUGUUCGGAAUUACUGGGCGUAAAGGGCUCGUAGGCGGCCAACUAAGUCAGACGUGAAAUCCCUCAGCUUAACUGGGGAACUGCGUCUGAUACUGGAUGGCUUGGAUUCGGGAGAGGAAUGCGGAAUUCCAGGUGUAGCGGUGAAAUGCGUAGAUAUCUGGAGGAACACCGGUGGCGAAGGCGGCAUUCUGGACCGAUAUUGACGCUGAGGAGCGAAAGCCAGGGGAGCAAACGGG